AACGAACGCUGGCGGCAUGCCUAACACAUGCAAGUCGAACGAGACCUUCGGGUCUAGUGGCGCACGGGUGCGUAACGCGUGGGAACCUGCCCUUAGGUUCGGAAUAACUCCCCGAAAGGGGUGCUAAUACCGGAUAAUGUCUUCGGACCAAAGAUUUAUCGCCUUUGGAUGGGCCCGCGUUGGAUUAGCUAGUUGGUAGGGUAACAGCCUACCAAGGCGACGAUCCAUAGCUGGUCUGAGAGGAUGAUCAGCCACACUGGGACUGAGACACGGCCCAGACUCCUACGGGAGGCAGCAGUGGGGAAUAUUGGACCAUGGGCGAAAGCCUGAUCCAGCGAUGCCGCGUGAGUGAUGAAGGCCUUAGGGUUGUAAAGCUCUUUUACCCGGGAUGAUAAUGACAGUACCGGGAGAAUACGCUCCGGCUAACUCCG
rnacentral:rRNA from 1 species